ensembl:misc_RNA Metazoa_SRP Metazoan signal recognition particle RNA
GCCAGAUGUGGUGGCACAUGUCUGUAGUCCCAGCUAGCAGGGAGGCUGAGAUGGAAGGAUGGCUUGAACCCAGGAGUUCAGGGCUGCAGUGAGCUGUGCCCAUGCCACUGUACUCCAGCCUGGGUGACAGAGCAAGACUCUGUCUCUA